CCUUGAAGGGUCGUUCGAGACCAGGACGUUGAUAGGUCAGGUGUGUAAGCGCAGUAAUGCGUUCAGCUAACUGAUACUAAUUGCCCGUAAGGCUUGAUCCU
rnacentral:ncRNA from 1 species